UCGGGGUGCAGCAGGCGCGAAAACUUUACAAUGCGGGAAACCGUGAUAAGGGAACUCCGAGUGUCCGUAAAUGCGGACUGUCCGUAUGUUUAAAAAGCAUGCGAAGAAAGGGCCGGGCAAGACCGGUGCCAGCCGCCGCGGUAAUACCGGCGGCUCGAGUGGUGGCCACUAUUACUGGGCUUAAAGCGUUCGUAGCUGGGUUGUUAAGUUUCUUGGGAAAUCUACCGGCUUAACCGAUAGGCGUCCAAGGGAUACUGGCAAUCUAGGGACCGGGAGAGGUGAGGGGUACUUCAGGGGUAGGAGUGAAAUCCUGUAAUCCUUGGGGGACCACCUGUGGCGAAGGCGCCUCACCAGAACGGCUCCAACAGUGAGGGACGAAAGCUGGGGGAGCAAACCGGAUUAGAUACCCGGGUAGUCCCAGCCGUAAACGAUGCGCGUUAGGUGUAUCGAUGACCACGAGUCAUCGAGGUGCCGAAGGGAAACCGUGAAACGCGCCGCCUGGGAAGUACGGUCGCAAGGCUGAAACUUAAAGGAAUUGGCGGGGGAGCAC
rnacentral:rRNA from 1 species